GUGCUCACUUUAGGAGCACAUAUACUAAAAUUGGAACAAUUCAGAGAUUAGUGUGGCCCCUUUGCAAGGAUCAUAUGCAGAUUUGUGAAGCGUUCCAUAUAUUU
ensembl:snRNA U6 U6 spliceosomal RNA